rnacentral:rRNA from 1 species
GUAUCAAUAAGCGGAGGAGAAGAAAAUAACUAUGAUUGCCCUAGUAACGGCGAGUGAAGCGGCAAAAGCCCAAAGUGGAAAUCUAGUACCUUUGGUACUCGAAUUGUAAUCUAAAGAUUGUGUACUCAACGGAUGGUGAAGCAGAAGUGCUCACGAACGAGCCGCCAGAGAGGGUGACAGCCCCCGUAUGUGGUUUCACUAUCUAACGAGUAUGUGGUCAACGAGUCGGGUUGCUUUGUAUUGCAGCCCUAAGUGGGAGAUAGACUUCUUCUAAGGCUAAAUAUAUAUGGGAGACCGAUAGCGCACAAGUA